CACGUAGGGCGCAAGCGUUGUCCGGAAUUAUUGGGCGUAAAGAGCUCGUAGGCGGUCUGUUACGUCUGCUGUGAAAACCCGGGGCUUAACCCUGGGCUUGCAGUGGAUACGGGCAGACUAGAGGCAGAUAGGGGAGAAUGGAAUUCCCGGUGUAGCGGUGAAAUGCGCAGAUAUCAGGAGGAACACCGGUGGCGAAGGCGGGUCUCUGGGCCGAUACUGACGCUGAGGAGCGAAAGCGUGGGGAGCGAACAGG
rnacentral:rRNA from 1 species